CGUAGGGUGCGAGCGUUGUCCGGAAUUACUGGGCGUAAAGAGCUCGUAGGUGGUUUGUCGCGUUGUUCGUGAAAACCGGGGGCUUAACUCUCGGCGUGCGGGCGAUACGGGCAGACUGGAGUACUGCAGGGGAGACUGGAAUUCCUGGUGUAGCGGUGGAAUGCGCAGAUAUCAGGAGGAACACCGGUGGCGAAGGCGGGUCUCUGGGCAGUAACUGACGCUGAGGAGCGAAAGCGUGGGGAGCGAACAGGAUUAGAUACCCUGGUAGUCCACGCCGUAAACGGUGGGUACUAGGUGUGGGUUUCCUUCCUUGGGAUCCGUGCCGUAGCUAACGCAUUAAGUACCCCGCCUGGGGAGUACGGCCGCAAGGCUA
rnacentral:rRNA from 1 species